UACGUAGGUGGCAAGCGUUGUCCGGAAUUAUCGGGCGUAAAGCGCGCGCAGGCGGCUUCUUAAGUCUGAUGUGAAAUCUCGGGGCUCAACCCCGAGCGGCCAUUGGAAACUGGGAAGCUUGAGUACAGAAGAGGAGAGUGGAAUUCCACGUGUAGCGGUGAAAUGCGUAGAUAUGUGGAGGAACACCAGUGGCGAAGGCGACUCUCUGGUCUGUAACUGACGCUGAGGCGCGAAAGCGUGGGGAGCAAA
rnacentral:rRNA from 1 species